UCACCAUGUUAGCCAAACUGGUCUCGAACUUCUGGCCUCAGUUGAUUCCCCACCUCAGUUUUUCCAGUUUAUAUUCCCACCAGCAGGGUACAAGGAUUCCUAUUUCCCUACUUCCUCAUUAAUUAAGAGGGUGACGCUCUUUCCGUUGUUUUUUAUAGAUCUGCAUGGAACAAUGCGGCUUCUCUGCAUGACUGGAGUUUGUUUUGUCUUUGAAGAUAAUCUCACUAGGAUCAAGGUCAUACCUGCUGGAGAGUCGGGACUCUGGAUUUCUGAUUGUUUUCAGGACAGCUACUCUCAUCCUAGGCUGAUCUGAGUUUCUGGGUCUUUCUCUGCCUGUUCUUUCCUCUCCCCUUCCCUUCUCUGCUGCAGAAAGUGUUUUAUGCGGGCGUCAGCAACUUCAGGACCUUCCAAACCCCUUGCCCCAGUAUCAUCCCUGAAUGCAAAACUCACUUAGAGGCCUAGGGAAGAGAUUAGAGCUCUGCUUUUCCUCUGCCACCUCAGGUGUGUUCUAGCUUACAAGACACUUUCACAGAAAAAAAUUCAGGGAAUGGAAUGGGAAGGCAAAAAUAGCUGCUUGAUGCUGACUUGGCACAUUGACUUCGACCAAAUCACCCAGCGCCUCCUCCUUAGUACUCUGGUGACCACAGAAUAAUCCUCGCGCAGUGAGUAGUGGAGGUCAGGAGGAGUAAACUGCCUAGAUGUCAUGAAGGGAAAGCACUAGACUUGUGCAAAGUCUAUUCUUGUCCGUUUCCCUGUGAAUCCAGGUUGCUGAACAUCAGCCGAUGUCUGAACUGUGGUUUCCUCCUGGUUUUGAAAUUUAGUUACUAGAAGACAAUGCUUUUGAAUGGCUUCUUUGCCAUGACUUUCACAGGUCCUGCUGGCUGUUGCCUAAUGAAUGUCUGAUAGGCCUAGCCCCUUGGCAAAGCAAUGUUUUAUUUGCAAAAUUAUGCUUGUCCAGUGCCUCCUGGGAACUGAAAGCCUGGCAUCAGCAGAGGAACACAAACCGGGCAAAUCACGGAUCUCCAAGGCUUGCAUUGCUUGGGGGCCAUGGCACACAGCACUGCUAAAAGCCUAGGACAAUCUGUGUGUUUUAGGAGCAAACCAAUGCCUUGCACUUCUAAGCUGUAUCCUUUGCUCCCUCCCUGAGAGGCAGCCGUGUACUCUGGGCUUCCUAGGUAAGUGACUCACACCAACUAUAAGCCUGGCUUAUGACCUAGAAAAGGAAACAGGAAGUGGCUUAGAGACAUAAAGAGCACAGCCCAGAAGGGGCUGCCAUGGAAUUCUCCUCAGAUGAGAAGGGGUCCAAUGGCCAGAGGGGCAACUUGGCAUCCUCUCCUUCCCCACGUUACCACGAUGCCCUUGGCAGGGACCAUUUGAUGGGGAGUCGGAUGUCUUCCUGGGGAUGGUGAACAGGGGUGAGGGAGGGGGAACUGCUGCUGGGUCAGUAGCUCCUCUCCAGAGUGAGCCCAUCAGUGGAAUGCCAUGCCCCUUCUCUAUCCCGUCUUUGCAAGUGGGCUUGGGUUCUUGGGAUGAGUUUCAUCAGGCCUUAUUCAUGCAGACUGUGAAGAGGUGCCUCCAACAAGAAAAACCAAUGUCUAGCAAGUCCUCUAAGGGCAGGGAUUCUGGAGAGGUCGCCCUGUCCUCAGCUUGGCCCUGGCACAUUCUGGCUGCAGAAAAUGGGCCUGCUGCUCUAAGAGGUUGGACUCAAGGAGUCCUCUAGCACAGGGGCCAUGAAAAUAAAUGACUUCCUUGUUUGCUGAUGGAGCAGAGGUAGAAUCUCUUGGUGUUUCCAAAGAGAAAACGCUGACUGUGAAGAGCCGAGAAAGAUGACGUGAUGAAGCCAUCAGGGGAGGCACCAAACAUCCUCAACUCUGCUCACCUAUGGUUUUCUCCAGCCCUCCCAGAGCUCCUCCUGCGUGAGUAAUGCAGUGUGUGCUGGUCAAGUGUCUCACUGAAAAAAGAAAGAAACCCUGAUUUGCAGCAUUGGCCAAUUCCUGUAGUGUAAAUACUCCUACCAUGGCAGAUUUCAGGUUACCAAGGGUUUCACAACUGGUUCACAAGUCUUGACUGUAAUGACCAGCUCAUGCAACUCCAGCACCUCAUCAUCUCCGCCCUGUCCCAGAAAAUCCCCACAUCACACCCAGGCUGAAUGUCACUUUCAGCUUCUCAGUCAGAAGGAGAAGUGGUUAAAUAUACCAGGAUGGUAAUGACUAAGUAUCAGAAUGGUGAGUGUGGAGGGUCAGGAUGUCUGCCAAAUUGGAAAUGACUCUUCACUUCUCAAUCUUGGUGUCUCAUCUGGGGAAGUUGGAGGGAGACAUGCACAGCUUCUCAUGAACAGUCCUGGACGCCCUUACCCCAAGGCCUCACGGGGCUCUCUCCAGGGCUUGCUCUUUCUCACUCUCUACUUUAAAAGCCUAUGAUUCAUUGCCAGAGAACAGAAGGCUCCAUCCUAAUGGGCCAAGUUGAAAACGGCGGGAUUGGGAGCUGUCUAGACUCUGGGUCCUGCCUUUUGUCUUGGCUGGUGUCAAAAUGGACUCUAGAAACUGGCCUCAGGAAGAUUCCCCAUCGAACAGCUAAAGACUGAACAGCCUGGACUGACCUUUUUCUAAUUUUUAGGGGUCUUGUGAACAAGAGUCAGGUGGGUGGGCAGCUCUUGUAAAGCUGAGUGUAACCGAAUUUGUCCAUAGCCUGUGACAGCAAAGAUCACAAAACUCUUCCUUCCCCUUUAGGGCCUGGGAGUGACGCCGAGUGACGCCGAACUGAGGGGAGAAUGGUGACCUAUUUUAUCUCCCAAACAUUGGGCAGUCAGUUGCAUUUGCAGAUUUAAAAUCCACCCACACUGCUGCAGUUUCUGUUCUCCUGCCCCCCAGGCAUACUUCUGGCUGGAGCUGGUUUUGUAAAGUGGAGUUGGCUGUGGGUGUGGGAGUCCUCCUCGGAGAGCCUGGUCUGACAGCCCCAGUCCACAGCCCUCCCAUGGGCUUUUGGGCUGCUCCAGUCCUGGCAGGUGCACAGCGCAGAGGAAUCUGGUUUUGUCCUGGUCUCAGCUGGGGAAGUCUAGAUAAAGAAAGAAAAAGUCAGCUGGGUGCAGUGGCUCAUACCUGUAAUCUCAGCACUUUGGGAGGCUGAGAUGGGCAGAUCACGAGGUCAGGAGUUUGAGACCAGCCUGGCCAACAUAGUGAAACCCUGUCUCUACUAAAAAUACAAAAAUUAGCUGGGUGUGGUGGCGGAUGCCUGUAAUCCCAGCUACUCGGGAGGCUGAGGCAGGAGAAUCGCUUGAAACCGGAAGGUGGAGGUUGCAGUGAGCUGAGGACCCGCUACUGCACUCCAGCCUGGGCAACAAGAGCAAAACUCUGUCUCAAAAAAAAAAAGAUCUUGGUGGAAAUGGCCUUGAAUCUGGGGUCUCUGUAAUAUUCUGAUCACUCAAUCACUUAACAAAUAUUUAUUGAGGGCCUACUAGGUGCCACACAUUGGAAGACAGUGGAGGGUGAAGCAGAGUCUGCCCUCAGGGAGCUUACAGUUUAGAUUACAGGCAAGACAGAGCUUACACAUGUAAUUCCAGAUGAGUCAAUAAUGACAGGGGUGCAGAGGCUUUGAAGCAGAAGCAUAAGGUGCAAUGGGAACAUAAAACAGGGAAGCCUAAUGCAGACUAAGGGGCCUGAGGAGGGUUCCUCGAGAAAGUGAGGUUGAAGCUGAGAACCUGAGGGGUGGUUUGCAUGCAGUACAAUUGAGGGUUGAAAGGGAAGAUCUUCCAAUGCACAAAGAAUUUAUGCUGCAGAAACAUUCUCUUCCUGAAGAUACAUUUGGGAAUGUAGGUAGAAAUUAACUGUCUUGCCUUCAUAUACAGUGUAGUGGAGACCACUGUGGAUCUCCAACUGUUUGUCUUUUCUUAGCAACAAGUCCCCAGUUUUUGCUAGGUACAUAGCUACCCAGAGAAAAAAUUAUGUGACCACCGUACUAUGCUCCAGCCAAUGAGAUGUCAGCAGAGGUAAUAUGCGGGGCCUCUGAGAAGGCUCUUUUCUGCUACCUGGUACCUGGCUGGAGGCUGAAAAGCCAUUAGGGACCAUGAAGAGACAUGCUAAGGUUGGAGAGUCAGCGUAUUACAUGGAGCCUCCUUCUCUGAUGGCCAUGGGCUGUGAUACGAGCCCUGGAUUGCCUAUUUCCCGACUUCUUUUGUAAAAGGGAGAAAUAAAAGUCAAUUUUUGAAAAA